rnacentral:rRNA from 1 species
UGGGGAAUAUUGCACAAUGGGGGAAAGACCCUGAUGCAGCAACGCCGCGUGAAGGAAGACGGUUUUCGGAUUGUAAACUUCUUUUCUUAGUGAAGAAGCAAGUGACGGUAGCUAAGGAAUAAGCAUCGGCUAACUACGUGCCAGCAGCCGCGGUAAUACGUAGGAUGCGAGCGUUAUCCGGAAUUACUGGGUGUAAAGGGAGCGCAGGCGGGACUGCAAGUUGGAUGUGAAAUACCGCAGCUUAACUGCGGAGCUGCAUCCAAAACUGUAGUUCUUGAGUGGAGUAGAGGCAAGCGGAAUUCCGAGUGUAGCGGUGAAAUGCGUAGAUAUUCGGAGGAACACCAGUGGCGAAGGCGGCUUGCUGGGCUCUAACUGACGCUGAGGCUCGAAAGUGUGGGGAGCAAACAGGAUUAGAUACC